GAAAUGCGAUAAGUAAUGUGAAUUGCAGAAUUCAGUGAAUCAUCGAAUCUUUGAACGCACAUUGCGCCCCUUGGUAUUCCGGGGGGCAUGCCUGUUCGAGCGUCAUUAUAACCCUCAAGCCUAGCUUGGUGUUGGGGCAUGCUUCCGCAGCCCUUAAAAUCAGUGGCAGUGCCUGUCGGCUCUAAGCGUAGUAAUACUCCUCGCUAUAGACCCCGGUGGAUAUGCGCCAGAACCCUAAAUUUUCUAUGGUUGACCUCGGAUCAGGUAGGGAUACCCGCUGAACUUAA
rnacentral:misc_RNA from 1 species